CGCGGCCCCGAUCCUGAUUUGUCAGUCAACUUUACCACGUGGUAUCCUUUCUGUUAUGUAACUGUUACUUUUACGAGUAUAACCUGUAAGUGAACUAACUAAUAUUCAUUGGUGAACUUUUGGUGAACUUCGCGCUACUAUACCCGUACUAAGGUAACAUGGCUUGGGAGAUCAUAAUCAGAUUUACUAGCAGCGCGUUCAGACUUCGUGUAAAAUCAUUACAAAUUAUACGCCUAAACUUUACUCAGUAAUCAUCUAUCUUAUUGGUGAAAAUAAUCCGUAGUUUUGGAGUUUAUCGUCAUCAUACAGAGAGACGUGACAGGUGGACUUAUUUUUUUUUUCUUAUGUAAGGAUUUGAAUUGUUUGAACCAAGUCGCUUCGUGAUAUCUGUAGAAUAGAAUAAUAAUUUAUUCGAAGUAACUAAAACACACACAAGUUAUUUACAAAAAGCACAGCACAAUGACAUUCGUGUUAAGUUUAGCACUAAAACAUCCUGUGUCCGUUGCAGCUGUUCAAAAAGGUCAUGGCUCAGUUCUUACUUUAUUCAACGUGAAUGUGCAAAGCACUGAUAUUCUGCCACAACCGGACCGACGAUUAAUAUUGCCAUCACAAAUUACAAAAAAAAAACCGACAACAAAACACAGUACAGCGCUAUACAUAGAAUUAAUUAAAAAGUAGUUCCAUCAAGACAUCAACAAAAAUCGGACACAGUGAAACAUAAAGAUAUAGUGAUUAUACUCAUUUAGCAAAAUCCGCUACCGACCAACCAUGCGGUAUUCCUAUUUCUUGUUUGUUGUCUGUCUGUCCCUAUGUAUGCUUAGGUCUUUAAAACUACGCAACGGAUUUUGAUGAGUUUUUUUUAAUAGAGCGAUUCAAGAGGAAAGUUUAAGAGUAUAAUUCGUUAUGGUUUGAAGCCGGGACGAGUCGCUAGUUAACAAUAAUUUGUUUAUUCAAAUAAACAUCGUCAUAGCAAAAUUUUUGCAGCGGUGGUGGUGCGCUAAGCAGUGGUUAAUGGUUAAAACGCCCGCCUGUGGAUCGAAAGGUCUCAGGACCAAUCUAUCUCAUAUAUAGUAGUUUUCAUAGACCACCUGCUUCCGGUGAAGGAAAACAUCGUGAGGAAACCUGCACAUCGGUGAACAAUUCACUAGUGUGUAUGCGACUACCUGCCUGUAGAUGGUGGUAAGUAGUCGUAAAAGUCUUGUUAGAUGCCUUUAGGCGACUAUAUAUAAAAUCUGACACCAGUGUUAGCGAUAACACGCUCGAUAUGAUGAUGAUAGCAAAAUUUUUAAAGCCAUUGUUAUGGAUAAAUUAAUUGGUUUGUAAUCAAGCUGUCACGGGGCUCAAGAUAUUAAUUUGGAACUCAAUUCAAUCGAACCCGCUCCCGAGUUUGGAACUAUUUUACCCUAUUUAAUUAUAUUUCGGGAUAAAUAGAUUCGGGAGGGCUUAAUGAAGUGAUUUGCGAUGGUGAGCUGUUAUUGGAUUUGAGAUUGUGUGUUAACAAGCUUAUUCCUGGGUUGCCCACGUAAAAAAACUUACUUUCUGUCGGCCAUUGUUUUUUGUUAAGGUAACAUUACAAGGACUUGUUCAAAACGGACGUGAAAAGUUAAUUUUAAUUCAGGGUCGGAGUUGUGCGUUCACCACCCCUAGUGUUGCAAGCAUCUAUUGGCUGCGGUGACUGCUUCCCAUCAGCGUCAGCAGCGUGACUGUUUGCUUGCAAUUCAUCAUUUGAUCGAUUACUAAAUAUGUGAAUAGUUCAGAUAUAUUUCGGUUUUCUGUGGAGUUUGUUGGAACAUGUUGCCUUCGAUAGAGAUUUGUGGGAAAAAGGAGGAGGUCCUUGGCCCAGCCGUGGGACAUGACCUCCCCGCCGAUUGGCUAUUAGAAAACAAAAAAUUUCGCACCUGUUGGCAAUAAGUCGAGAUGUCACAACUUUAAUAACGAAUAAAUGUCUUUAAUGCAACUUUUUUAAAUCGUUAUUCGUAAUUGAAUUUGUUGCAGAUCGUCCAUUUUAUUAAACACAAAAUUCGUAUUUCAUUUCACAAAAUGUUCGAUAAUUUUAUCGAAAAGUACCGAUAAAACCAUUCAAUUAACGAAAGAAUAUUGAAAGCCAAAGAAAGACGUAAUAUUCAAGUAAAAAGUAUAUAAAAUCACGAGCAGAAGGACCAAAUCAAUUGAGGAGUUACGUAAAAACGUCCACUUGGGAUAUAAUCAAUAGGGACCGACACUGUUCAAAUGAGUUUCUUUCGGCAUUUCUUCUCAGCAGUGGUCGUUCCGAAAUGCCAGUAGUUUGUAGCUUGUGAGAAAUAACUGUAAAUAUUAACGAGAAAAAGUGUGCCUGUGAAGGUCUAAUUUCUGAAUAAAUGAUUUGAAUUUGAAUUUGAAUCAUGUCGGGUUUUAGUUUUUAUUGUGGAGUUCUCGAGGGAUUUCACAAAAUUGAGGUUGAACAUCUUCUAUGCUGACCUGUGAACGUAAGAAAAACAUAGAAUGUGCCAGCUGCUUCUCCGCUCGCGUAAACUGUAAAACUCUAUCAAGGGAAAUGGCUAUAAACUGCAGUUUCUUCCGAUGAACUAGCUUGUCAUUAUUAUUUUAAUCUCAGUGCCACCAAUAAGCCCAACAGCGAAAGAGUUUGAGGAGAUGUUUAAGGCGGUUAAUCUCCAAAAAUACCGAACCGUUUGAAAAAUUCUUUCACCAUUAGAAAGGUACAUUAUCCAAGAUUGCUAUAUGCUAUAUUUUAUCUCAAAAUUCCCAGGGGAGCGAAGCCCCGGUCAACAUCUAGUAUUAGGAUAAAGCCGCAUUUUUCGCAAUUUAUAUUAAUUAUUUUAAGCUAUGUGUGAUAGAUAUAUUUUGUUUUAAGCUAUGUCAAUGACUGUGAUUUGUGCAAUAAAGUGUAUUAGGACAAAUCAUAUUAGGACAAUUCACACAGAUUGAGCUAGCCCCAAAGUAAGUUCGAGACUUGUGUUAUGGGAUACUAACUCAACGAUACUAUAUUUUAUAACGUAUACAUAUAUAGUUAAACAUCCAAGACCCGGGACAAUUAGAAAAAGAUCAUUUUCCAUCAUGACCCGACCGGGAAUCGAACCUGGGACCUCUCGGUUCAGAGGCAAGCACUUUACCACUGCGCCAACGAGGUCGUUGUUGUGAAUAUGUGAAUUGUUAUGAAAUUUUCUCAUUUGAGGUAACUAUCUAUAUCUCUGGGGUAGAUUUAAUAUAACAGGCACGUAUAUAUAAAAUAUCUAUACGAACGUAUGGCAGAAUUUGGUUCGAAUGCUAGAUGUGAUGGAUUUCCCUGAUAAUGGCGGUCUGAGAGCCUUUCAAUCUGGCGAUAAUACGGGGAGCGGAGUGGUUGGUAAACAAAAAUUGUGAUGGAUACUGUAGAAUAUAUUCUCACUAGAUAGAUAGAAUUUGCCGCGGCUUCGGCCGUAUAAAAGCCGCUUGGAAAAAUUACACAUUCGUUUUGGAGACGAGAGUUUCAAUCGAGUUGGGCGCCAUAGACUAAACAAUCUAAUAUAAUAUGUAUUACUUGUAAGAUACAUUGUUUUCAUGCGAUGGCCGAGACGAUUUAUUUAUUUAAAACCUAAAAGAUUUUUAAUAUCGAUAUGAUAAUAACUUACGAAAUAACUUAAGACAGAAGUUCUCUUAAAUAGGGACUAAAUAAAUUAAUCGACUUGGUAUUAAAUGGAUCUCACUACUUUUAACGGUAGAAAAACUGAGCUGCGAGACUUGGUUUUUUUUACAGCAUGUUUUUGGUAGCAUCAGUUAUUUUCCGGGAUGAAAAGUGUAUGCCUAUGUCCCUAUGCCCUUCUCCAUACUUCAAUCAAAUAUUGUAUGCAAAGUUUAAAGAAGAUUGGUUGGGUAGACAGCACGUAAAGUGGUGACAAACAAACUUACUUUCGCACUGAUAAGGACUACUGAACUAGUUAGGACUUGCUUUUGCCCGCGACUUCGCCCGCGUGAAUUUCCCACGAUAGCAUUUAUUUUUCGGGGAUGAAGGGUACUUUAUGUGAAGAACAUAGUGUACUAUAAUAUUUUUCACAAAUAAUACAGUUUACUUCCUUUUGAUUGAGCUUUGUAUGUUUAUUUUUGUAGGUUUGCUACAAAGGGCGACGACUCGUAGCAAAACUAUUGACAAGUGAUAGUUUAACAGCUUAUAGGCUACAAUGGCGUUCCCAAGGAGUGUGACGGGAUUCUGGGGCGGGACCACACGUUUCGUUUUAUAAGCUAUAGAAAUCCUACUAUUAUUAUAAAUGCGAAAGUUUGUGAGGAUGUGUGUGUAAGUACGUAUGUUUGUUACUCUUUCUCGCAAGAUCUACUGUACCGAUUGUUAUGAAAUUUGGUACACUGGUAUAGACUAUAAUCUGGAAUAACACAUACGGUAAUUUUAUCCCGAAAUACCCACGGGAGCGAAGCCCCGGGGCGCGUCUAGUCUUACAUACGUAGCGACGAAUGUGAUAUUUAGCGAAAUAUCACAUUCAAGUAGUCUCAAAGCUCCCCCGGUACUGGGGCACAAAAAGUUUUCGGAGCUCCAGUCAAAGGCCCUUUGAGCCGCCAUGACACCGUCUCGCCAAUUAGAGACGCCAACUUGAGACGUUUUGCGAAUCUCAGAAUAGACGGAGCAAUAGCUACGAGUACAGUGCGCUAGGGUUGCCAUCACUUUAAUAACAAUCCGGAGGGAAAAUAUUCUGAACGCCGGAAAUUUGGGAGGAUGUGUAUUGUUUUCUCCCUGACAUUCAAUUACAGUGAAUAAAAUCUAAAAAAUUCUCCAAUGCCAUUUGGUCGUUUGGUGGUGUAACCCAGACGGAAUGCAGCGCUAGUUCUCUUCAUAGGCGUAUGACUGAGGGUCGUGGUCAUUACAUUAUAAUAGAAUGAAACACACGCAACAAAUUUCUUGGCACUAUUAAUGGAGUGGUUUGCCAUUGCCUUCUCCAUUUCACAUACAAGUUAAUAAUCAACCAGUGUGCAGGUUUCCUUCACCGGAAGCAGGUGGUCUAUGAUUAGUGAAUUGGUCUAAAAUAAAAUAAAUAAAUAAAUGAAUAUAUUAGGACAAAUCACACAGAUUGAGCUAGCCCCAAAGUAAGUUUGAGACUUGUGUUAUGGGAUACUAACUCAACGAUACCAUAUUUCAUAACAAAUACAUGUAUAGAUAAACAUCCAAGACCCGGGCCAAUCAGAAAAAGAUCAUUUUCCAUCAUGACCCGACCGGGGAUCGAACCCGGGACCUCUCGGUUCAGAGGCAAGCACUUUACCACUACGCCACCGAGGUCGUCGAAAAAGUAGUGUGGUUCGCCUAGAAGCGCCAAAAUCCCUUCCUUUAAUUCGGGUCAAAGAUUACUCUAGUGCCUUAUCAGCCUUAUACAAUCCUUUAAAGGUCACUGGACCCCGACGCGGUACGAUGAAUAAUUUAGCAGUUAAGCCUUCGCAUUCAUGGUAUUUGAUAUAAUCCGGCGCGAAGGAACCAGUGAACCGCCUAUUCAUACAAACAAUACAGUUUAUUAUAAUUGAAAUAGUUUUUUUGGUUAGGACUCGUAAAUUAUUUAUUUCAUUAUUAUGUUCUUCUUUACCUCCUCGACUAGUGGCAUCGUAUUUGUAACUUUCUACUCCAACCGUCCCUGGGCGACCUUGGUGGCGCAGUGGUAAAGUACUUGUCUCUGAGCCUUUUUCUGAUUGACCCGGAUCUUGGAUGUUUGUCUAUAUAUGUAUUAGUUAUAAAAUAUAGUAUCGUUGAGUUAGUAUCCCACAACACAAGUCCCGAACUUACUUUGGGGGCUAGCUCAACCUGUGUGAUUUGUUUAGGACAAAUCAUCAAUAUAUUUAUUUAUUAUUUAUUUACUCCAUAUUUUAUAUACUUAUAGUUAUACUCUUAACGUUACAUAUCCAUCGAUCGCGGAUUUAUUAAUAACUAUCAUAGUUUUAGCCAGCAACCGUCUUGUACAGACAACAGUGUGUUGGUCGAUACAUAGUUAUUGAUCUUGAGCAACUAUUUCAAUAGAAAUUCUCAAGAAUCACCGCAAUCCAUUUCGAGAACUAGCAUUGUUGUUUUGUUCGGGGAACGUCGUCUUGGCUAAUUACACGUUUGCCUUUUGAAAUAUUUAAUUCCAGACAUUUUUAUCGCUAACAGGCGGUAGUAGCAGCUAAGCCACUUUCGUUGUAAUCGGUUAUCGGGUGACCAAAAAUAUAACAUCUUGAGCUCCUCCGUGGCUUUGUCUAAUUGUGUUAAUUGUCAAAAAAGUUGCCUUUUUUCAUAUUUGAUUUCAGUUAAUUUGUCUCUGGUAUUUUCUGCACGUUUUGGCCGUCUUAUAUAAACUACUUAACUACAUCAUUUAAUAUUAUGAAAAUAAGUCCUCCUAUAAUAAUAAUGCACUAUGACCGUUGGGCCUUUGUAGCUACUAAGUGGCAUCCACAUGGUGGCUACAGAAUCAGAGUAAGACGAACAAGAGCGACGGAGCGACGAUCUGAGGGCAUUCAGAAAGAACUGAUCGGUGGUUGCGCAAGAUAGAGAGAAAUGGAAAGGAAUGGGGAGACCUUUGCCCAGCAGUGGGACAAUAAGGGUUAGCAAGUCCUCCUAUCCCGUCUGCCUGUCUAUGAAAGCUAUGUUGUAUGAAAGCGAUAAACUCACAAAGUAUCGCAUCGAUUUUUGUACGAUUUUCACCAGUAGAUAUAUUGAUUCCUGAGAUUUAGAUGUAUAAUUUAUUAUCGUUUUACCCGAGCGAAUUCGGGACGAGUCGCUAGUAAACUAUACUUUUGAAACAGAUACUGUGAAUGCGGUAUAACAAGUCAGUCUUAUAAAAACGUUUUGUAAAUUAUCCAAAAUAUGUGUAAGAGUCAAACAGUUGAAUUUAGUUCAAAGGACAAGGUUCAAACCUCUGAUAUUUCAUUAUAACUAAUAGGGUUAUUUACUACUAACUUUUAAAUUGAUAUUAAAAAAACAGAAAUUUCAUGGUGCCAAUAUCGUCGUCGUGUACAGGAGAAUAGCCAUUAGCCAAGCCAUUUUCGGACUCUGUAAUUAGCUGACCAUGUCACAAUAUCAGUGCAUUAUUCAACCGAUUUACAUAAGCAACCAUAAAACGAGGAAAGGGGAACCAAUGACUGAUGUAUCGUUCAAUAAUAUCUAUCUAUACUUAUAUUAUAAACAAGAAGUGUUUGUAAGUUUGUGUGAAGGGGUUUGUAUGUUUGCCUUCGGUUGGAAUUACUCAGCCGAUUUCCAAAAUAUUAACGAGAGCAAUGCUCCGGGAAUCAGCUAGUCUUGGAGUAUAUAUGAGAGUCACUCCAACCAAUAGAAAUAUGUUAUUGAAUUCAAAUACAAUCACAGAAAUAUUCAUAUUAGCAUAUUGAGAAACAACGAAUUGGGACGUAAAUUAAGAUUUAAUCGUGUAAAAUAAGAAUGGAUUUUAAUUUUUCUUGUUAUCUUGUUUAAACUUCAAGUGUACGUAGCCAAAUGCAACAAUUUCCUUGGUAUGUGUAGUUGUGACGUUGACAUCAGCCCCGCCUUUCUCGAACGGCCAGCGGUUGGGGAAGUGUUGGGAUUGGACCGUCAUGUUCAUCAGGCGAUAUUCACCCUGGAAAAGGAAGCAGAUGUUACAAGUCUAUUUUACCGUAGACUAAGACGACGUAUUCUAAUUCUCAGUCGUAACAUCUUAAGAUGGUAUAUCAUCCUAUGGUAAUGCGGCCUCUGUUAGCAGCUACGCUUCUAAGAUCAUGAUUAGGUUCAGGUACAUAAGAAACAUCUUUUUGAUAAUCAGCUAAUUCAAGAUCACACACACUUUUCUGGUCAUAGGAAUAUGUCUAGAAUACGUAGCUUACUAAAGUAAAAAGAUUAGUUGAGUCAAAGAUGAGAAUGCUAUCUACGCAUUUACUAUUUUAACAAGACAGUUAAGGACUUUAAAUUAUUUUAAGCUAUCUUUACCUUAGGUGCAGGACACACCACGCCCUUCAGGGCAAGCAUUUUGCCAAUCAUGGGUUCCUUGUUGAUCAAAUCGCAAAAUUUGUAGUUGAAUUCGAUAAACGACCGUCGGUACUCGUUGUGGAGGAACUCCGUCAUCACUAUAUGCACCUGAUCAUCACAAACAUAAUUAUAUAUCUGUGUAAGUUUUCUGUGCUAUAUUUAGAUAUUCUUGCUAAACAAACCUAAUAACUAUUUGUUAAUGCUUCCUCUUUCCAUAGUUACUCAUUCCAUAUAUUGUCAGCUCGUUACUACACAUGCGCACCUGUGUUUGAAUGCGGUUUCUAUUUAGAUAAGACUACCGUUCUGGAAAUGAUGGCUUACAGAUAUAUUGUUAGUCCAAGUUUGUUUGAUGCUCCCCCAAAGGUUGAAGUAGUAUGGACCGUUUCUCGAAUACCGUCUAAUGUUGGCGUAAACUUCAUCUAUGAACUUAUUGUUUACGUAUAUAAUUUUCACAGACUCCGGAAUCAUCUCCAAACACUGGAAAAUAAGUCAUAAGCAACAGAUUUAUUAAAUGACAUCUCAGAUCUGUGUGUUUCUUUCGGUUGCACUGGGCGCACCUAUAACCUGAUAAAAUGUAAAUAUCAUAUACAGAUCCACUGUUUUUUACUAUAAUUUAUUCCUGACAGAUAUAAUUGACGACCUCGGUGGCGCAGUGGUAAAGUUCUUGCCACUGAACCGAGAGGUCCCGGGUUCGAUCCCCGGUCGGGUCAUGAUGGAAAAUGAUCUUUUUCUGAUUGGCCCGGGUCUUGGAUGUCUAUUUAUAUAUGUAUCUAUUUAUAAAAUAUAGUAUCGUUGAGUUAGUAUCCCAUAACACAAGUCUCGAACUUACUUUGGGGCUAGCUCAAUCUGUGUGAUUUGUCCUAAUAUAUUUAUUAU